rnacentral:rRNA from 2 species
GUGGACGCCAGUCUGCGUGGAGCCGACCUUGAAAUACCACCCUUUAAUGUUUGAUGUUCUAACGUGGACCCGUGAUCCGGGUUGCGGACAGUGUCUGGUGGGUAGUUUGACUGGGGCGGUCUCCUCCUAAAGAGUAACGGAGGAGCACGAAGGUUGGCUAAUCCUGGUCGGACAUCAGGAGGUUAGUGCAAUGGCAUAAGCCAGCUUGACUGCGAGCGUGACGGCGCGAGCAGGUGCGAAAGCAGGUCAUAGUGAUCCGGUGGUUCUGAAUGGAAGGGCCAUCGCUCAACGGAUAAAAGGUACUCCGGGGAUAACAGGCUGAUACCGCCCAAGAGUUCAUAUCGACGGCGGUGUUUGGCACCUCGAUGUCGGCUCAUCACAUCCUGGGGCUGAAGUAGGUCCCAAGGGUAUGGCUGUUCGCCAUUUAAAGUGGUACGCGAGCUGGGUUUAGAACGUCGUGAGACAGUUCGGUCCCUAUCUGCCGUGGGCGCUGGAGAACUGAGGGGGGCUGCUCCUAGUACGAGAGGACCGGAGUGGACGCAUCACUGGUGUUCGGGUUGUCAUGCCAAUGGCACUGCCCGGUAGCUAAAUGCGGAAGAGAUAAGUGCUGAAAGCAUCUAAGCACGAAACUUGCCCCGAGAU